GCCGCCGUGGCGAAAUGGCAGACGCGAUGGACUCAAAAUCCAUUGGUGGCAACACCAUGUCGGUUCGACUCCGACCGGCGGCACCA
rnacentral:tRNA from 1 species